GCUCAAUGCCAUGACUGAGGAAGACCACGGGGUUUUCUCUCUUAGAGGGGAGUGAACCCAGAGCUUUGAGUUGAGAUGGGGGUGCCAUAAGAUUGAAGUACUCUGAAAAACAGAGCUUAAAGGCUUUUAACAGGAAUCCUUGAUAUUCUUCAUUCCAAUUGUUCACCUCUACUGUAGGGCUCAGUAAACACUUAAGGAAGUUGCCGUGCACUGCAGCCUGCCGGAGACAUGAAGGAAUGUACGGGAGGAUAAUCGCAACAUCAUCAACCCAAUUCUCCAAGUAAUUUGCCAUGGGACAGGCACACCCCAUGUGUUUGGGAAGACAAUGGGAAGGUUCUGUUUUCUGCUCCAAGACUGAUUCAACCAGUUGGAUCUGGAAGGGGAUAAAGGGCUGUGUGGCUGCUUGAUUUUCAUUGUCUAGUGGCAGCCAAAAUUGGAAAAGAGAGAAGUGCAGACUUUAAAGACAAGCAGCGACAGCUCAUCAGCAGUCUAACAACACGACAGAUGACAGGCCCAGAGGCACACCCAGGGCCGCCAGCCCAUCACCCUGUGCAGGAUGUCAAAGAGCAGCUGCAGCAAAGGAAGAAGAUCAUCCAGACUUAAAUGUUUGGGCCUUGCUAAGACCAUAGAGUCUUUGUGCUUUGGAAACAGUCCUCCAUACAAAGACCCCUUCCUAGAAAAGAGUGGAAAGAAACCAAGGUGGAAUGGAUACAACAGAAAGGAGACCAUGCUAAUAUUCUUGUGCAAUGCUUCCUGGGCAGAAAUUAUGUCAUAAAGGAUGUUCCAUUCUGCAAAGCUAUGUGUCUCUCUGUGGUUUGCCUCAGAGGAGGGGCCUUUCAUAGCUGUAGUGAGUAAGGGGGCCCUUGCUGAUGUUCAUCAGAUAUGCCAAGGCACAGGAAGAAAGCAUUGAGGUCACAGGGCAGCUCAGGUCCGCCUGUGGUAAUUGAAAACAGGUGACGAGAUUGGGUUGAUUUUAUUUUGGAAAAGUAAAUUAGUGCUGCACCACUCGGACAUGGCUAAUUCAUGAAGCCUCUGGUUUGUAUUAGACACCCAACAUGCCUUUCAGAAAGAAAUGACACAACAAUUAAUGUGUCAAAUAAUAAUGUGCCACUCGGAGAAAGAUAAUUGUACCCAUCGUCAGGUAGUUAUUAGGUCGAACGAAUGCUCAUCCUUUCAAAGGCAACAGCGUCUAUUCAUUCUGGCAUCCUACUGUAAGUACAGUAUUGUGUUCAUAAUCACACAGACUGAAGCCAGGAACACUGGGUUUUAUCUGAUUUUUCUCCAUUUGGAAUUGUACUCCGAUGAUUCCCUAAACAGCAAACUCAGUCAUGUGAAACACAAAUGAGUGUGAUGAAAGACAGAUUGUUAUACUGCAGGAGAGGCUUUCUGUGCUUUUCACAUAAUAUAGAGCAUGAGGACUGUUCCCAAGAAGGUUUAAGCAUAUGUAACAAAAACUACCAGACCUGAAUUUGCUCAUGUGUAAAUGAUAGUCUUUCCUUCUGGUGAUUUAAUGCAUGAGGACAUCAAUCAGUCACAUCAUGGCCUCAGAAGUCCUUGUUCAAUUUCUGAUGCCAUAACUUACUCGAUGUGGGAUUUGGACAAGUCAUUUAACUUCACUGCAAUUCUGUUUCCCUCAUUUGAAAAAUAGAAAUAGAAAAGCCUGCUGUAUAUUUAGGUCCACAUCUGUUGGGGAGGUCAAAGAAGAAAGAAUAUGAAAAGUUGUUUGUAAAUAUAAAGAACCAUGUAAAUAUAAGACAUUGUUUUAUUAAUGCUCCAGAUCAAUUAACUUUCAGUGAAUGAUAAAAUGUGACAUCUUUUCAACAGAGACAGUUUUACUUAAGAAAAACUAGGCAAUGGCUUCUGUCCUUACAAAUGAAAAACUUCAUAAUAAAUGGGGGCUCUCAAGACCACCUGGCCAAAACUGAACUAAAUACUCACUUCAUUCAACCAAGAAUGAGGAACUGAAAUACAUGAUUAUUAUAUAUGCAUAUGCUUCUGUUUCAUCUACUUGGGCAUGCUUGUGAUGAGAUAUGAAAAAUUAGCCAUCUUUAGAAGGAAAGAAAUAUUGUAUUUGGGGGUAUUUCUUCUGUACAGACAAUUGGCCUGGUUAUUGUCUAAAGGUAUUUAAAAUUAAUAAAAUGCAAUUUUAUGCUACAUAAAAUACUCAAAGCAACCAUAUUUCAAGGUAUGGCUUCUAUACCUUGUCCUCCCCUGAAGAUGCAUUCUCAACCGAUAUCUUGACUAUAUGGACAACAAAUCGUAAAAGAAAAAUGUAUAGUGUGGUGUUUGACGUUGAGUAGCUUAUGAUAGACAUUCAUACCUGUAAAGAGAUCUCGUUAGGGGAAACAAACUAAUAUAUAACAAACAGAUAAUUAAAGUAAGCAGUACUGAGACAGAGAAGAGUUGGUGACUUAGCCUGUUGAAGAUAGACACUUUGCUAAUUAGGAUUAAAAAAUAUAGGCAUAUCUGCUCUAAUAUCAUAUAAAUAUUGCCAAAAAACUCUUGUAUUCUGUAAAAGAAUACCUAAAAACAAACAGAGCUGACAGGCAAAAUAAGAUUGGCGGUGUGAGCCCCACUUGAAAUCUUUUUAUAAUUCUAUCUUGAAAGUAUUAUUCCAUUAUAUCCAUCUUUAGAUAAUUAAUUGAAGUAAAUCACUAAGUCCGGUCCACUUCAAGAAGAAAGGGAUUAAGAGAGAAUUUGGGGGCUAUCUUUGAAGCCAUCACAGGCUAUCUCUUAGAGGUAAAGGAGUGUUUAAGGAAGAAAAGACAACAUAAAUGGAG
rnacentral:lncRNA from 1 species